GGGACUGUAGCUCAAUGGCAGAGCUGUCGGCUCAUAACUGAUUGGUUCCUGGUUCGAGUCCAGGCAGUCCCA
rnacentral:tRNA from 1 species